GCGCAGCAGGCGAGAAACUUUACAAUGUGCGAAAGCACGAUAAGGGAACUCUGAGUGCCUCCUAAGGAGGCUGUUCAGGUGUCUAAAAGCACCUGAAGGAAGGGCCGGGUAAGACCGGUGCCAGCCGCCGCGGUAACACCGGCAGCCCAAGUGGUAGCCACGUUUAUUGGGUCUAAAGCGUCCGUAGCCGGCUGGGUAAGUUCCUUGGGAAAUUUGGCUGCUUAACAGUCAAGCUUUCAGGGAAUACUGCCCGGCUUGGGACCGGGAGAGGUCAGAGGUACUCCAGGGGUAGGGGUGAAAUCCAUUAAUCCUUGGGGGACCACCGGUAGCGAAGGCGUCUGACCAGACCGGGUCCGACGGUGAGGGACGAAGGCUAGGGGCGCGAACCGGAUUAGAUACCCCCGUAGU
rnacentral:rRNA from 1 species